rnacentral:tRNA from 1 species
GCGGCAAUAGCUCAGUGGUAGAGCCCCGCUUCGCGUGCAGGGAGACCCGGGUUCGAUUCCCGCCUGCUUCC